GGACAAAAGCCGAUAGCUGCUGGGAAGAAGGAGGACUCUUGGACUUCUUUCUAAUUGAGCAGUGGGGUCUCUGCUUCCUCCCACUAGAAAUUCAACUGGUCUCCAAAGAAAGAACAAGUCACCCAUUGCUAACCAAGACAGAAGAGAAUGCAGCUCUUGCUGCAUUUCCUGAAUUUGAAGAUAACUUUGCUGUCAAGGCCAUGAAGGUGCCAUGGAGGCGUCACUUCCAAUGCUGAGAAUUUCAGCUCCUCUGGAACUAAGCCCAGGUGGCAGGCGGGGUAGUGAGAACUCACACCCCCUUGUUUUCUGCACCCCCAGAAACUUUCAACAGACAUUCCAGCUCAUCUCAGAUAACUGAUCUCACCAAGUGCCUCCACCAUCCUCUGAGAAGAAGCAUCAGACAUGACAGCUGCCUUUAUCUCCAGAUGGCAGGCCGUCUUGUAGUUCCAAAGCAGUGAUCAUCACCAAGCCAUACCCCUGGGUGGGACACGAGUGGAGAAUGGAAACAGCAGAGUGUACAGACAUCUGUGGUAUGCAGGCCAAUGUGGGUGUCUGAAAGCACUUGGGGAUGAGACAAGGGCUUGGAGGCUGAACUGAGGCUGGGCUUCAAGCAAUAUGGCAGCACCCAGGGCCUGGUGGAAAAGAAAGCUGCAGCAGAAUGAUUUCUGAUCCAGCACAAUGCCAUUACAAAUGUCUCAAGAACCAGAGACCUGGAUGUUAAGCUAGCAAAGAGCUGUUUUAGCCAAAAGAAAGAAUGGCUACCCUGAUUUUUACAAAUGAAUGAAGUGUGAAAAGACACUAACCCCUAUUCAAACUCUCCAUGAAACCAACUGAUAGUGCUAAGUAACUUAAGAAAGCUCAACAAGCACAUGCCAAACAACUUAUUAACAAGAACAGAAGGACCAAAGGUACAAUUGAGAGACUGUGAAGAUAUGUAGUACUUAGUAAAGAAUUCAGCAGAUGGGAAGGAAUCCAGAACAUACACUCAGUCUCUGGGUUCCACAGAGGAAAAUGUUUCUCAUGUCUUCACACAAGAAUAGAAGCAAAGACUGAGAUAAUGUUUCCCUUCCAUCAUCGACAGGUCCACCAAGCCCCGAAUCCAGCUGUAACUCACCUUGCA